UGCGGAGGGAGCUAGCGUUGUUCGGAAUUACUGGGCGUAAAGCGCACGUAGGCGGCUUUGUAAGUUAGAGGUGAAAGCCCGGAGCUCAACUCCGGAACUGCCUUUAAGACUGCAUCGCUUGAAUCCAGGAGAGGUGAGUGGAAUUCCGAGUGUAGAGGUGAAAUUCGUAGAUAUUCGGAAGAACACCAGUGGCGAAGGCGGCUCACUGGAGCUGGUAUUGACGCUGAGGUGCGAAAGCGUGGGGAGCAAACAGG
rnacentral:rRNA from 1 species